rnacentral:rRNA from 1 species
AAAAGUCGUAACAAGGUCUCCGUAGGUGAACCUGCGGAGGGAUCAUUACAGAGUUCAUGCCCUUACGGGUAGAUCUCCCACCCUUUGUAUCAUUACCUUUGUUGCUUUGGCAGGCCGCUGGGCCUUGGCCUAGCUACCGGCUCCGGCUGGUAAGCGCCUGCCAGAGGACCCCAAACUCUGAAUGUCAGUGUCGUCUGAGUACUAUAAAAUAGUUAAAACUUUCAACAACGGAUCUCUUGGUUCUGGCAUCGAUGAAGAACGCAGCGAAAUGCGAUAAGUAAUGUGAAUUGCAGAAUUCAGUGAAUCAUCGAAUCUUUGAACGCACAUUGCGCCCCUUGGUAUUCCGGGGGGCAUGCCUGUUCGAGCGUCAUUUCAACCCUCAAGCACUGCUUGGUAUUGGGCAGCACCAGCAUGGUGCGCCUUAAAAUCAGUGGCGGCGCCAUUGUGGCCCUGAGCGUAGUAACUUUUCUCGCUAUAGGACCCUGUGGACGCUUGCCAGCAACCCCAAAUUUNUAUGNGACU